AAGUUAGUUUAUAAAAGUGUCAAUUUCUAUUGAACUCUGCACUACUUGCAAAAUGAAAAAAACGAGGACACUAUUCACACAUUAAACUUUUCAACAAGCUAAAGUGCUCUAGGGGACUGGAGUUUCUCUUUAAGUUAUGGGGUCAUCAAUCCUGUCUUAGAAACAUCACAUAAAGGCAGACAGCAAUGGUAACAGCAAAUAUCAGUAAUAAAUAUAGCGG